rnacentral:rRNA from 1 species
GUAGGGAAUCUUGCGCAAUGGGCGAAAGCCUGACGCAGCCAUGCCGCGUGAAUGAUGAAGGUCUUAGGAUUGUAAAAUUCUUUCACCGGGGACGAUAAUGACGGUACCCGGAGAAGAAGCCCCGGCUAACUUCGUGCCAGCAGCCGCGGUAAUACGAAGGGGGCUAGCGUUGCUCGGAAUUACUGGGCGUAAAGGGAGCGUAGGCGGAUAGUUUAGUCAGAGGUGAAAGCCCAGGGCUCAACCUUGGAAUUGCCUUUGAUACUGGCUAUCUUGAGUAUGGAAGAGGUAUGUGGAACUCCGAGUGUAGAGGUGAAAUUCGUAGACAUUCGGAAGAACACCAGUGGCGAAGGCGACAUACUGGUCCAUUACUGACGCUGAGGCUCGAAAGCGUGGGGAGCAAACAGGAUUAGAUACCCGGGUAGUCC